CAGAAACCCCCGGUGAUCCUAUUGUCCUUGAUCAUGCCAAUUUACGUGCAACCCAGUUGCAUGAGGAUGUUAACAGCUUGGAAGAGUUGUCUAAUAGCGGACUGCUGCAACGUCUUCCUGCUGAAGCGGACUCACAGAUGGCUGACUAUGUUCGGCUUUUUCCACCUCCUUAACUUUGGAAUCGUGGAAUAUCAGAUGUGCUAAUCAAAGCAUUUUUAUUCAGACGGCAAGGCCUAUAUUCUGCCGUCUAGCAGACUUGAGAGAGAUACCAUGGCGUAAGCAUGGGAGAGCUUUAUGGCAUUAUCAUUGUGCUUCGGAAUCACAGAUACUUGGCUUGAGCAGAAGCACUUGGGACCCGAUGCCCCUUCCCCGAUCCGGCUCAUGGACAGCGGAGGAGUUUGCUCAUCCCUUUCCACGGCGCAAGCAUCUACGUCAACUUUUAUCUCUUUGCACUCGGCUCGAUUCGGCAUCCAGGCCCUGCUCGAAGCUAAGUGCUAAAGUUGUUGAAAGGCAUCGAUUGAAUUGUGUCUCAAUCCGUGCGAGGCUGGUGGCUUCGGCAUCUGCCACAGCUCCGCUGAAUAAUAAUUGCUUUUGAUUGAUGCUCUGCACAGCCCAUCUGUGGUACGCUGGAAAUGUUAUCAUGGACGGAUUCUUAUCCUUUUUUAGUAGCUUGUUUUCGAAGUUCCAGGCUUCCAGCUAGGGAGGUAGCUUUACUUUUCCGUACUCGAUAGGGGAGCCUUUCCAUGGAGAAUUACAGCACAUGACAGUGACAAGUGACAGGAAAUAAAUCAAAAGAUGGGUGAUUUUGAUA